rnacentral:rRNA from 15 species
GGGUGCGAUAAUGCCGGCACAAAAUCACCGGAUCCCAUCAAAACUCCGAAGUUAAGCGUGCUUGGGCAAGAGUAGUACUAGGAUGAGUGACCCCCUGGGAAGUCCUCGUGUUGCACUCC